rnacentral:rRNA from 1 species
CUCAGGGAGGUAGUGACAAGAAAUAACAACACUGGAAACUUUAUUUCUAGUGAUUGGAAUGAUGGGAAUUUAAACCCCUUUCAGAGUAACAAUUGGAGGGCAAGUCUGGUGCCAGCAGCCGCGGUAAUUCCAGCUCCAAUAGCGUAUAUUAAAGCUGUUGCAGUUAAAAAGCUCGUAGUUGGAUGUCUGCUGGAAGCAAUCAGUCCGCCCUAUUUGUAGGGUGUGCACUUGAUGAAUUCUGGCAUCUAUGUCCUAAUGUGAUAGAUACGGCGGUGUAUAUGGGCUAAUCCUAUAUACCCGUUUUUGUAUAUUAUAUUGGGAUAAUGCCGUUACUUUGAGAAAAUUAGAGUGUUUGAAGCAGGCUAAUUGCCUCGAAUACUGCAGCAUGGAAUAACAAUAUAGGAUUUCGGUUCUAUUUUGUUGGUUUCUAGGACUGAAAUAAUGAUUAAUAGGGACAGUUGGGGGCAUUCGUAUUUAACUGUCAGAGGUGAAAUUCUCAGAUUUGUUAAAGACGAACUACUGCGAAAGCAUUUGCCAAAGAUGUUUUCAUUAAUCAAGAACGAAAGUUAGGGGCUCGAAGACGAUCAGACACCGUCGUAGUCUUAACCAUAAACUAUGCCGACUAGAGAUAGGAAAAUGUCAUUUUUCUGACUU